rnacentral:lncRNA from 1 species
GGGCCAGGCGCCACCUUCCUGCCUUCCGGGACCUGACCAAGGCUGGAGCUUUGAGCUGCUGAGACAGAACACCUGCGCAGGUGAUCCACACCUCCCCCCUAAACCAGCAUCCCAGCGGAGUGGUUGUCUUGGGGACUAGACAAUAGAGUGGAAUGAGGAGGCCAGCCAGCUACUCUAAGGCCAGCUACUGCCAGCCAGCCUUGAUCGACACCAAAGACGCCUAAUCUCUCUCUGGCCCGAGGGGAGCAGCAGCGAUUGUGAAACAGAUUUUUACAAAAUGUUUUGACCCUGCUGUCCCCUCCCCCCUGCAUCCCUGCCUGGCACCGUGUCACCUAAUUAAAUCAGCCUUCGUAGGCGACUCAGCUUCCUGCUAAUUGUGCUCUGGGCCUGCUUCCGGAGGCCGCUCUCCCCACCCCCUUAGCCACCACCCGGACUCCGGAGGGCAGCACUUAUGGGGGUGGGUAUGUCUCAGGGCGCGGAGGUCCUCAGAGAAGAGCCACGUGGCGAUGCCCACGGUCCUGAGGGAGCUGCAAUCGGGGAUACUGAGUCACCGGGUUUGGCCCUCUACUUGACCGGGCUUGUUGCCCAGGGACCCGCUUGUGUCCAGGUCUGAAAUGACCCGGGAUCUCGGAGAGACCAGCCCGAGCGUAUCCGAGUAAUUGUCUCCGCCAGUAGGGGAGCAGGGGUACGCGAUUUGGAAAAUCCCAGGUUUCUUUCCCCUUCACCAGCUGCGUUGCCGCCCAAAGCCCACGGUUUUCUGGUUCCUUCCGGUCUUGGAGGUCCGAGGGAGGGCGCUGCUCUGUCCAGGGUGCUGAAGUGCUCCGGCCCAGUGGCGCCUCCAAAUUUGCUCCAUAAUAGCAAUAACUAAAAACAUCACAGGCGACUUUGACCAGCCGAUUUCACCAGCCUAGAAGCUGAGUGCUGGAGAUGUGGCUCGGCUGAUGGUGCAGUUGCCUGGUUGCAGGACUUCCUUCGCUUGGUCUCAGCACUACACAAGCUGGGUCUGUAAUCCCAGCACUCAGUAGGUGCAAGUAAGAGGAUCAGAGGCCAAUGUCAUCCUCACCUUUGACUACAUGAUGGAAGCCCAAGGAUAAUCUGGGCUACAUAAGCCCUAUCAGGGGAAAAUGUGGCCAGGGCCUGGGCAAAUGGUUCAACAGACCGAGAGCUAUGCCACACAAGCAUGAAGACACAAGUUUGGAUCCCUAACCACCCACACACAAAGCAGAGCUUGGUGGCAGGUCUGAAACCCCGGCACUCAGGAAUUAGAGGUAGGAGGACUCUUGGAGCUUGCUGAUCCAGCCAGACAUUCUAGCCAAUCAAUGAGAACCAGGUUCAGCAAAAGACCUUGUUCAAAAAUUAAGAUGAAAAAGCAAUGGAUGAGGGGACUGGAGAGAUGGCUCAGAGGUUAAGAGCACUGGCUGCUCUUCCAGAGGUCCUGAGUUCAAUUCCCAGCAACCACAUGGUGGCUCACAACCAUCUGUUAUGAGAUCUGGUGCCCUCUUCUGGUGUGCAGAUAUACAUGGAAGCAGAAUGUUGUAUAUACAUAAUAAAUAAAUGAAAUCUUUAAAAAGAAAAGAAAAGAAAAGAAAAAGUGAUGG